UACGUAGGGGGCAAGCGUUGUCCGGAAUCAUUGGGCGUAAAGAGCGUGUAGGCGGCUCGAUAAGUCUGCUGUGAAAGUCCAGGGCUCAACCCUGGAAGGCCGGUGGAAACUGUCGGGCUAGAGUCCGGAAGAGGCGAGUGGAAUUCCCGGUGUAGCGGUGAAAUGCGCAGAUAUCAGGAAGAACACCCGUGGCGAAGGCGGCUCUCUGGUACGUGACUGACGCUGAGACGCGAAAGCGUGGGGAGCGAACAGG
rnacentral:rRNA from 1 species